rnacentral:SRP_RNA from 1 species
UCCAAGCCCCUCGCGUGGCGUCAUCUUGGAAAACUCCCCCAGGGCCGGAAGGCAGCAAGGGUAUCCGGGCUCUGACGGGUGCGCGAGGGGUCUUAUCGUU